UACAAAGGGUGCAAGCGUUAAUCGGAAUUACUGGGCGUAAAGCGUGCGUAGGCGGUUUGUUAAGUCUGCUGUGAAAUCCCCGGGCUCAACCUGGGAAUGGCAGUGGAUACUGGCAAGCUAGAGUGUGUCAGAGGAUGGUGGAAUUCCCGGUGUAGCGGUGAAAUGCGUAGAGAUCGGGGAGGAACAUCAGUGGCGAAGGCGGCCAUCUGGGACAACACUGACGCUGAGGCACGAAAGCGUGGGGAGCAAACAGGG
rnacentral:rRNA from 1 species